UGUUUAUAUGGAGAAUAUCCAGAAUAUGGGGUAGUCGUUACAGCCCGUGGCAGAUGUAUACCUCGUGGCAAGUCGUAUUUUGCCUACUCAAGUCGUUACGUUUACACCCCGUGUGCUAUACGGUAAACAAGGCGAUGAUUGGAUAAGGUAAGUCAUGUGAGGUUAACUGACCAAUCGUUGCAAGAGUAUGUCUGGGAGAGUGGUGUGAGGUCUGCGACACGGCAGUAACGUUUGCGGGAGUGGACCGAGUUGUUGGGUCCUGCGGGCCGUGUUGCGGCAAUGACAUCUCAUGGUGAGGUGAUAAUUUGAUACAGCAGGAAAGCUGGAGCCGUAAGGCUGACAUGGUUGGGGCUUAGGACCGCCAGCUGAAACAGGGCAGUUAAGCAGACCAGUUCGGGGCCAUGUGAGGAGCCUUAGUGGUACAGUCGCACUCAAGUCAUGUUUUAUGCAUCAGAGGCGUGCGUCACCUGUGUUACGAAGUUCCGGUGUAAACUUCCGGAGUAACUACUUCCGGCGAGAUGUCAGCAAGUGGUUGAACUUAGUUGUGAACCUCAGGAACGGAGUGUCGGUUCCGUCCUAUGUAUCUACAAUUGCGGUAACGUACGGUAUACUUUGUGUACGUCCAGUCGUAACAUCGUCAAGGUUCCUGAAAUACUCAGUCAGAAACUGAACAAGGAGGACUGGAGAUAGUAUCCAGUAUAUAUUACUGAACACUACAGGUUCAGUUCUCGAACAUUAUAUACCAAGUUAUUGCUGCGUACCCUACGUAGCCAGUGACAUUGUCAGUUGUCGUCGUAGCUGUGAUGAACUGUCAGAUGAUUAGAUUUUGCAUAUAAUUGUGUUAUAACUAAGUUGUGUAUAAAAGUGUAAUAUUUUCACGUGUGCAUUCAAUCCUGGAAUACAGACCAGUGUUACUGUGUACUUAUGAUGACUAGGAAAUGUAAUUGAAUAUUUCUGAUUCAUUCUACCCUAGAACUAGGUGAUAUUAUCAUACGUAAUUGGAUAAUUGUCUAUAAUUAAUCAAGUAAUUUGUAUGAUAUAACUGUACUGCUUUCAUAGAAUAGGGAGAGCGAGAAAGAGGCCUAUCUUGUGAGAGAGAGAGUGAAGCUAUUCAAGUCAUUGUAAAUACCAUUUACACUUGUUUCUUUUAUUAUUAAAUUGUUGAAUUUA